UACGGAGGGUGCAAGCGUUGUCCGGAAUCACUGGGCGUAAAGGGCGCGUAGGCGGCUCGGUAAGUAGGGGGUGAAAUCCUGCGGCUUAACCGCAGGGCUGCCUUCUAAACUGUCGAGCUCGAGCACGGUAGAGGCAGAUGGAAUUCCCGGUGUAGCGGUGGAAUGCGUAGAGAUCGGGAAGAACAUCAGUGGCGAAGGCGGUCUGCUGGGCCGUUGCUGACGCUGAGGCGCGACAGCGUGGGGGAGCAAACAGG
rnacentral:rRNA from 1 species